GUGGGGGAUAUUGCACAAUGGAGGAAACUCUGAUGCAGCGACGCCGCGUGAGGGAAGACGGUCUUCGGAUUGUAAACCUCUGUCUUUGGGGACGAUAAUGACGGUACCCAAGGAGGAAGCUCCGGCUAACUACGUGCCAGCAGCCGCGGUAAUACGUAGGGAGCGAGCGUUGUCCGGAAUUACUGGGUGUAAAGGGAGCGUAGGCGGGGUCUCAAGUCGAAUGUUAAAUCUACCGGCUCAACUGGUAGCUGCGUUCGAAACUGGGGCUCUUGAGUGAAGUAGAGGCAGGCGGAAUUCCUAGUGUAGCGGUGAAAUGCGUAGAUAUUAGGAGGAACACCAGUGGCGAAGGCGGCCUGCUGGGCUUUUACUGACGCUGAGGCUCGAAAGCGUGGGGAGCAAACAGGA
rnacentral:rRNA from 1 species